rnacentral:rRNA from 2 species
UUAAGUUAUUAAGGGCGCACGGUGGAUGCCUUGGCACUAGAAGCCGAUGAAGGACGUUACUAACGACGAUAUGCUUUGGGGAGCUGUAAGUAAGCUUUGAUCCAGAGAUUUCCGAAUGGGGAAACCCAGCAUGAGUUAUGUCAUGUUAUCGAUAUGUGAAUACAUAGCAUAUCAGAAGGCACACCCGGAGAACUGAAACAUCUUAGUACCCGGAGGAAGAGAAAGAAAAUUCGAUUCCCUUAGUAGCGGCGAGCGAAACGGGAAGAGCCCAAACCAACAAGCUUGCUUGUUGGGGUUGUAGGACACUCUAUACGGAGUUACAAAGGACGACAUUAGACGAAUCAUCUGGAAAGAUGAAUCAAAGAAGGUAAUAAUCCUGUAGUCGAAAAUGUUGUCUCUCUUGAGUGGAUCCUGAGUACGACGGAGCACGUGAAAUUCCGUCGGAAUCAGGGAGGACCAUCUCCUAAGGCUAAAUACUCUCUAGUGACCGAUAGUGAACCAGUACCGUGAGGGAAAGGUGAAAAGCACCCCGGAAGGGGAGUGAAAUAGAACCUGAAACCGUGUGCUUACAAGUAGUCAGAGCCCGUUAAUGGGUGAUGGCGUGCCUUUUGUAGAAUGAACCGGCGAGUUACGAUUUGAUGCAAGGUUAAGCAGUAAAUGUGGAGCCGUAGCGAAAGCGAGUCUGAAUAGGGCGUUUAGUAUUUGGUCGUAGACCCGAAACCAGGUGAUCUACCCUUGGUCAGGUUGAAGUUCAGGUAACACUGAAUGGAGGACCGAACCGACUUACGUUGAAAAGUGAGCGGAUGAACUGAGGGUAGCGGAGAAAUUCCAAUCGAACCUGGAGAUAGCUGGUUCUCUCCGAAAUAGCUUUAGGGCUAGCCUCAAGUGAUGAUUAUUGGAGGUAGAGCACUGUUUGGACGAGGGGCCCCUCUCGGGUUACCGAAUUCAGACAAACUCCGAAUGCCAAUUAAUUUAACUUGGGAGUCAGAACAUGGGUGAUAAGGUCCGUGUUCGAAAGGGAAACAGCCCAGACCACCAGCUAAGGUCCCAAAAUAUAUGUUAAGUGGAAAAGGAUGUGGCGUUGCCCAGACAACUAGGAUGUUGGCUUAGAAGCAGCCAUCAUUUAAAGAGUGCGUAAUAGCUCACUAGUCGAGUGACACUGCGCCGAAAAUGUACCGGGGCUAAACAUAUUACCGAAGCUGUGGAUUGUCCUUUGGACAAUGGUAGGAGAGCGUUCUAAGGGCGUUGAAGCAUGAUCGUAAGGACAUGUGGAGCGCUUAGAAGUGAGAAUGCCGGUGUGAGUAGCGAAAGACGGGUGAGAAUCCCGUCCACCGAUUGACUAAGGUUUCCAGAGGAAGGCUCGUCCGCUCUGGGUUAGUCGGGUCCUAAGCUGAGGCCGACAGGCGUAGGCGAUGGAUAACAGGUUGAUAUUCCUGUACCACCUAUAAUCGUUUUAAUCGAUGGGGGGACGCAGUAGGAUAGGCGAAGCGUGCGAUUGGAUUGCACGUCUAAGCAGUAAGGCUGAGUAUUAGGCAAAUCCGGUACUCGUUAAGGCUGAGCUGUGAUGGGGAGAAGACAUUGUGUCUUCGAGUCGUUGAUUUCACACUGCCGAGAAAAGCCUCUAGAUAGAAAAUAGGUGCCCGUACCGCAAACCGACACAGGUAGUCAAGAUGAGAAUUCUAAGGUGAGCGAGCGAACUCUCGUUAAGGAACUCGGCAAAAUGACCCCGUAACUUCGGGAGAAGGGGUGCUCUUUAGGGUUAACGCCCAGAAGAGCCGCAGUGAAUAGGCCCAAGCGACUGUUUAUCAAAAACACAGGUCUCUGCUAAACCGUAAGGUGAUGUAUAGGGGCUGACGCCUGCCCGGUGCUGGAAGGUUAAGAGGAGUGGUUAGCUUCUGCGAAGCUACGAAUCGAAGCCCCAGUAAACGGCGGCCGUAACUAUAACGGUCCUAAGGUAGCGAAAUUCCUUGUCGGGUAAGUUCCGACCCGCACGAAAGGCGUAACGAUUUGGGCACUGUCUCAACGAGAGACUCGGUGAAAUCAUAGUACCUGUGAAGAUGCAGGUUACCCGCGACAGGACGGAAAGACCCCGUGGAGCUUUACUGUAGCCUGAUAUUGAAAUUCGGCACAGCUUGUACAGGAUAGGUAGGAGCCUUUGAAACGUGAGCGCUAGCUUACGUGGAGGCGCUGGUGGGAUACUACCCUAGCUGUGUUGGCUUUCUAACCCGCACCACUUAUCGUGGUGGGAGACAGUGUCAGGCGGGCAGUUUGACUGGGGCGGUCGCCUCCUAAAAGGUAACGGAGGCGCUCAAAGGUUCCCUCAGAAUGGUUGGAAAUCAUUCAUAGAGUGUAAAGGCAUAAGGGAGCUUGACUGCGAGACCUACAAGUCGAGCAGGGUCGAAAGACGGACUUAGUGAUCCGGUGGUUCCGCAUGGAAGGGCCAUCGCUCAACGGAUAAAAGCUACCCCGGGGAUAACAGGCUUAUCUCCCCCAAGAGUUCACAUCGACGGGGAGGUUUGGCACCUCGAUGUCGGCUCAUCGCAUCCUGGGGCUGUAGUCGGUCCCAAGGGUUGGGCUGUUCGCCCAUUAAAGCGGUACGCGAGCUGGGUUCAGAACGUCGUGAGACAGUUCGGUCCCUAUCCGUCGUGGGCGUAGGAAAUUUGAGAGGAGCUGUCCUUAGUACGAGAGGACCGGGAUGGACAUACCUCUGGUGUACCAGUUGUCGUGCCAACGGCAUAGCUGGGUAGCUAUGUGUGGACGGGAUAAGUGCUGAAAGCAUCUAAGCAUGAAGCCCCCCUCAAGAUGAGAUUUCCCAACUUCGGUUAUAAGAUCCCUCAAAGAUGAUGAGGUUAAUAGGUUCGAGGUGGAAGCAUGGUGACAUGUGGAGCUGACGAAUACUAAUCGAUCGAAGACUUAAUCAA